UCUAUCAAAAAGUGAUGGUAAUAAUGGCAAGGAUAACAUACAUAGAUGUUUAAAAAAAUACUAACAAAUGAGUGCGCCAUGAAAUGUUCGUGGAAAGGAUUGCGGAAUAAUUUUAGAAUGUCCAAUUUAUAUUUCAUAAGAAUUAUGAAAGGAGAGAUAAUAUUACGCUAUAGUAUUUUUACAGAAUGUGAAUUUGAUAGUGCAAUAGCGGAAUGGUUACGCUUUGCAAGUCAAA